CCUACGGGUGGCAGCAGUGAGGAAUAUUGGUCAAUGGGCGCAAGCCUGAACCAGCCAAGUCGCGUGAAGGAUGACUGCUCUACGGUUUGUAAACUUCUUUUAUAGAGGAAUAAAGUGAGGCACGUGUGCCUUUUUGCAUGUACUUUAUGAAUAAGCAUCGGCUAACUCCGUGCCAGCAGCCGCGGUAAUACGGAGGAUGCGAGCGUUAUCCGGAUUUAUUGGGUUUAAAGGGAGCGUAGGUGGGUUGUUAAGUCAGUUGUGAAAGUUUGCGGCUCAACCGUAAAAUUGCAGUUGAUACUGGCAGUCUUGAGUGCAGUUGAGGUAGGCGGAAUGCGUGGUGUAGCGGUGAAAUGCUUAGAUAUCACGAAGAACGCCGAUUGCGAAGGCAGCUUACUAAGC
rnacentral:rRNA from 1 species